rnacentral:rRNA from 1 species
AGGGCUUCGGCCCUGGGGACAGCGGCGAACGGGUGAGUAACACGUGGAUAACCUGCCCUCGGCACCGGAAUAGCCCGGGGAAACUCGGAUUAAUGCCGGAUAGCCCCACAUCCCUGCGGGGAACGUGGGAAAAGGUAGCUUCGGCCUCUGGCCGAGGAUGGGUCCGCGGUGGAUUAGCUUGUUGGCGGGGUAACGGCCCACCAAGGCGACGAUCCAUAGCUGGUCUGAGAGGACGAUCAGCCACACUGGGACUGAGACACGGCCCAGACUCCUACGGGAGGCAGCAGUGGGGAAUCUUGCGCAAUGGGCGAAAGCCUGACGCAGCGACGCCGCGUGCGGGAAGAAGGCCUUCGGGUUGUAAACCGCUUUCAGGAGGGACGAAGCCACUCGGGUGAAUAGCCCAGAGGGUGACGGUACCUCCAGAAGAAGCCCCGGCUAACUACGUGCCAGCAGCCGCGGUAAUACGUAGGGGGCAAGCGUUGUCCGGAUUCAUUGGGCGUAAGAGCGUGUAGGCGGCCAGGGUAGGUCGGUUGUGAAAACUGGAGGCUCAACCUUCAGACGUCGACCGAAACCAU